CUGGCUCAGAACGAACGCUGGCCGCAGGCUUAACACAUGCAAGUCGAGCGCAUCCUUCGGGGUGAGCGGCAGACGGGUGAGUAACGCGUGGGGAUGUGCCUGGUGGUACGGAACAACUCAUGGAAACGUGAGCUAAUACCGUAUAAGCCCUUUUGGGGAAAGAUUUAUCGCCACCAGAUCAACCCGCGUUGGAUUAGCUAGUUGGUGAGGUAACGGCUCACCAAGGCGACGAUCCAUAGCUGGUCUGAGAGGAUGAUCAGCCACACUGGGACUGAGACACGGCCCAGACUCCUACGGGAGGCAGCAGUGGGGAAUAUUGGACAAUGGGCGCAAGCCUGAUCCAGCCAUGCCGCGUGAGUGAUGAAGGCCUUNGGGUUGUAAAGCUCUUGCACUGGGGAAGAUAAUGACGGUACCCAGAGAAGAAGCCCCGGCUAACUUCGUGCCAGCAGCCGCGGUAAUACGUUGGGGGCUAGCGUUGUUCGGAAUCACUGGGCGUAAAGCGCACGUAGGCGGACUUUUAAAUCAGGGGUGAAAUUCCAAGGCUCAACCUUGGAACUGCCUUUGAUCCUGGAAGUCUUGAGUUGUUCGGGAGGUGGUGGAACUGCGAGUGUANNGGUGAAAUUCGUAGAUAUUCGCAAGAACACCAGUGGCGAAGGCGGCACACUGGCCCGAUACUNACGCUNAGGUGCGAAAGCGUGGGGAGCAAACANGAUUAGAUACCCUGGUAGUCCANGCCGUAAACGAUGGACRCUAGCCGUUGGCAGCAUGCUGGUCAGUGGCGCAKAUAACGCUUUAAGCUNCCCGCCUGGGGAGUACGGNCGCAAGAUUAAAACUCAAANNAAUUGACGGGGGNNNNNNNCAAGCGGUGGAGNAUGUGGUUUAAUUCGAANNAACGCGCAGAACCUUACCAGCCUUUGACAUCCUGUGACAUCCAGAGAGAUUUGGGGUUCCCUCUGGGGACGCAGAGACAGGUGCUGCAUGGCUGUCGUCAGCHCGUGUCGUGAGAUAUUGGGUUAAGUCCCGCAACGAGCGCAANCUUCGCCCCUAGUUGCCAGCAUUAAGUUGGGCACUCUAGGGGGACUGCCGGUGAUAAGCCGCGAGGAAGGUGAAGAUGACGUCAAGUCCUCAUNNNNNNUACGNGGCUGGGCUACACACGUGCUACAAUGGCGGUGACARUGGGCAGCGAAGGGGUGACCCGGAGCUAAUCUCCAAAAGCCGUCUCAGUUCGGAUUGCACUCUGCAACUCGAGUGCAUGAAGUUGGAAUCGCUGGUAAUCGUGGAUCAGCAUGCCGCGGUGAAUACGUUCCCGGGCCUUGUACACACCGCCCGUCACACGAUGGGAGUUGGUUUUACCCGAAGCGNGCGCUAACCUGGCGACGAGGAGGCAGGCGACCACGGUGGGGUCAGCG
rnacentral:rRNA from 1 species